rnacentral:lncRNA from 1 species
AUUAAACGUACCUGUGUCCAGCACUAGCAUCUGAGUCUGAGAAAGACAGGCCAGCAUUGUAGGUGGCCUUUGAUGAUGUUUGUGGGUUUGAACUCCUAAUGAUUUCUCCAUUCUUUCAUCCUUGAUGAUCAUUUUGCUGUUCACAGGCCAUUUAUCUUUCUUGCUUUCUUCUUAAUUCUCGUAUUGGCUUUCUUCUGAAUAUUCCUGUGAUUGUCUAGAUUUUUACCUUUAGCUUUUAUUGAAGCGUUUAAUUUUAGCCUUUAAAAAAGUUGUCUGUCUUUCUUGUUGGUUCCUCAUUUUUUUCCUUUGUUUCUUAAGGAUUUUUCUUCUUUCACAAGUAUACCUGUCUAGCAACAUGCUGCAUUUAACCAUCUUUGAGGAAAUUUAUCUUUCAAGAGCCAUUUAACAUUAGUUUGAUAUUUUCACAAGGUUCCAGUUUGUGUGUUUCUUUAGAAACAGUAUGCCUGCAAUGCUGUCCUUAUUCCUGCCUAGAAAACCCACCAAUCGAAUGCUCUGCUGCACAACUAUUGCAUUUGUGUGAGUGCUAACUUUUGUAUUUUCGUUUGUUGUUUCUUGAGAUCAUAGCUAAUUGUGUUUUGUCUGCAAUAUUGAAAUUUAGAGUAAUCCUUUUAUUCAACUCUCUUCAUGCAUGCUGCAGUCUGAACAUGGUUGAAGCACUGAUAUUACAUAUCAUUCUUCUGGAGACAAAUGAUUUUUUUUAUUAAUUAUUUUCCAGGCUUCUGAUUCUAUGGAGUAUGGUGAGAAUCUUGUCGGCUUGAAGGUGAAGGUUUGGUGGCCCAAAGACCGUGAGUAAGUAUAUAUAUUUUCAAUUGUUGCAGAAGUGAUCCUCUGAAGUAGAAGCCAUGAAUUUUAUUUGUUUAUAUCUUCUUUUUUAUGCAUAUGCACAUGCGGGCAUUUAUCUAAUGUGUGAUUGUGCUUAUAUAUGUUGGAGCCCCCCUCCUUCAAAUUUUAAUGUCAACGAAUUAAAGUUGCUUAGUCUUGAAGCUUAUUAUCAUUAUAUAAGCUCUUUUUCCCUUGUUUUCUCACACUUGAAUCUUUUAUUUGCUGCAAGAAAAAAAAUUGAUAAAUGUAAAGUGUUCUCUUUCAAACGUGGAAUGUCUGCUAAUUUCUUUCUCCCCUUAUGGAUUUUGUUUUGCAGGUUCUAUGAAGGUUUUAUUCAUUCAUUUGAUUCCGCUAAAAAGAAGCACAAGGUGACACGUCUAAUGAGUAGAAAUUCAUUUUAAUGUUUUCUUUUUCUUAGUAUGUUACUGGAAGUUUUUCCUCUGACCAUUCAUGCUACAAUGUAUUAAAUUAUUUUCUUCAAUUUUUAUUUGUUUAUAGGUGCACUAUAAUGACGGUGAUGAAGAAAUUUUAAAUCUUAAGAGAGAAAAGUGGGCUGUGAUUGAAGACGAGUCAGGGUCAGAUGAGGUGGGCAGUUCAUAAGCAAUUGAUUUUUUAUUUGUUCAUGUACUUUGUUGCUAAUGUUUCAUUGAAACAGGAAGGCGCAGCUAAUCCUCCAAGUCCUGAUGGUUCAUCUGACAUGUAGGUGAUUCCUAUUUGUGAUUCUUGAAUGUUAAAUUUGAUUGCACGACCAUUUUGGCCUCAGAUGGUUCUGUGUAUUUUGGUCUUUCGUGAUGAACUUUUGCGUAGUUGGCUUCUAUAGUUUAAGUUGAUUCUUUUCCAUUCUUUAGCAUCGUUAAUUUUUUCUGAAAGGUGGAGUUUAUUUCACGUGUUAUAUCUGGUAUUAGUUUGCAUUUCUGUUUCACAAUCCUUGUUUGCACUUAUCUUCUUUUCCCUUGUGAUCAUUUUUUAGUGGCAGGCUUCAAAAGAAGAAGGCAAAAACAGCUGAUCCCUCGAGCAAGAAAGCUAAGAUGGAUGCUUCACCAAAAAGGUUAUUAGAUUCUUUCAAAUGGAACCCUUGAUAUGUUAUUUAUUUGAUUUCUGAAAAUCCCAAUAUUGGAUGGUCAGGGGUGGAGGAACUUCGUCGGGGAAAUCCAAGGGUAGUGCCACAAAGUCUGGUCGCAAAACAAAGGAAGAUGCUAAAGUGGAUGGGAAAUCCAAAGAUGGUUCCAAGAGUGUCGGUAAAUCUGGCAAUGACAGUGUUGCUAAGUCCAAGGAUCCUAGCACCCCCAAAACUGGCAGUAAACCAGUUGACAAUGCUUCAAAAGCAGACAAGAAGUCCAAGAAUGAGGAGAGUGGUGAAACACCGAAGUCUACGAAAUCCAAGGAUGAUGGAAGUGCCACACCAAAAGCUUCCUCAAAGUUAAAACAAGACGUUCCAAAGACGGGCAAUUCCAAGCAGGAAACCCCCAAAAUUUCGUCCCAAUCUAAGGGUAAGCCUCUUAAGAGUGGGGGCAAAUCCAAUUCUAAUGGCACUGGUAAGUCAAAGUCUGGCUCGUCAAAGGUGAAAGAAAGAGAAAGCAUGAAAGAGAGCUCAACUGAUUCAGGAAAAGUUGUGGGAAGUGUGAAGCGGAAAGCACCAAGUUUGUUGAAGGCGCAGGGAAGUGAUUCGAAGUCUGGAAAAAAGAGGCAAAGAUGAGUUGAAAGUCGCACCUACUGCAUUGUCAUUUGCCAAGGGUUGGUUCUUCUCCAAUGUGGAACUUGGGUGAAUUGUAGUAUUUAUUGUAGCAUUUGGGUAUUUGACGUAGAUCUUAGGUUUGUGGCUAGCAAAUAUUCGUAGUUAAUGCAGUUUAUAGUGGUUGUACUUUGUAGGGUUAAGAUACCUCUUUUAUAUAGAUAUAGUUUUUUUCCUUUUCCUUUAUUAUUGAUGCAGGCGUUAGGAUCACAUUGGGUUUAGAGUUUUUGCCUUUGUACCAAAGAGUUGCUUCUAUAGAUUAACGUAAUAGAUUGGAUUCGAGAAACUGUGGAAGCAGUGGUGGCGUAUCCUUUUCUAUCGAAUGCCUUCCCCUUUUUAACGAUUUGCUUUUUUUUUUUUGUUUGGUCCGAUUACAUUUUCUUAAAAGUAAAUAUAGAACUUAACUGAUAGAACACGAGUUGCGGUAUUAUCUAUUUCUAUAUUUAUAAAGUUUUUCUUAUUCUUUUAAAUUACAAUUACAAAUUGAAGUGGUGUCAACAUUGCUGUUUGGCUACUGUACUGUACGUAGAAGUAAACGAAAUCGAAGAGGUUUUGGAUUUUCAUCUUCGUUUGAUAUUAAGAAGUGCUCGUCUUGGUGAAGACUGUAGAUGAAUGGGUGGAAUUAAUUUUUACACAUCGAAUGGUGAUAAAGCAAAUGGGAAAGGGAUGAGGUUCAAUGGCUUCACAAAUGGAUGAUCACCAGCAUAUACUUGUUUCAUUUGUUUGAAUUUUGGGUCAAAUUCUGGAUUUAUUUCUUAAUUUUGAUUCAGUCUAACUUCAAUUUUUAUAUUUUUUGAAUUGGUCAAUUUCUAUAGUAGCUUGAAUUGUAGUAAUUAAAUUUCACUAUUAAUCUAGUAUUAUGUGAAAAGUUAUAAAUUUAAUUUCUAUUCUUUGGAUUAUAAUUGUUUUUUUUUUAAGUAAAUCUAGAACUUAACUGAUAGUAGAGGAGUAAGGUAUUAUAUAUUUCUAUAUUUGUAAAGUUUUUCCCAUUCUUUUUCAUUACAAUUACAAAUUGAAGAGUUGUCAACAUUGCUGUUUGGCUUUUGUAUCGCUUCGUAGAAGUAAACGAAAUCGAAGAGGUUUUGGAUUAUAGCUAGAGCGACUGUUUGUUAAAGCAAGCAAGCUUCAAUUUAGAUAUUAGGGAAGAUUGUGGUUGUUUCCAUCACUCUAUCGUAUCCAGGAUGUAAUCGAUUUAAACGAUUAUAGAUCUGCGAAAUGUAAUAAGUUGAGGAGGAUCUAUUUGAGGUGGACUUUAACUGUGAAAUUAGAUAAUCAUUAUUAUUAGAAAAUUGAAAAGUAAGCAAUCAAUAUUGAUACGACUAUUUUUAAACGUGCACAAAUAAAUUAUUCUAUGAAAGCGUUGAAAGUUGUAUGGAUAUGACUACUGUCUACUGAUAUAAUAUGUAUUUAUUUUUUUACAAUAGACAGUUGAAACUAAAUUAAAAGCGAAAUGAAAAUAUAAUCCUUUUCCAAUUGCGAUGCCGGAGCUACGACCAACGAAAUGGAUGAAAUUGACAUGAUUUUGAUAACGAUGUUCAUACAAGUUAAUACAUCGAUUGGCCAAAGGUAUGUUGGAUAAACCUUAUUCAAUUGUUUAAUAUUGGUUAAAUGACAAAUGUAUAGGAUGGAUAAAGUUAUUGUUGAUUUUACAAAUCAAUCCGGUUAAAGGCAUGACAUUUGUUGCUUAAUGCCUAAAAAAUUGGAAACAUUCAUGGUAACAUCGUUAAUUAAAAAUUAAUUAAAUACAAAAAUAGGGUGCGAAACAAAUUAAUUACAAAAAUUAGGUGUUUGUUAUAGUAUUUUUGUCAACAUACCUUUAUUGGAAGAAAAUUGUUUGAGACAUAUUUAAGUUGUCGGAAAUUACAAAUUGCAAAGUAAUUAUUCGUGAGCACUAUUCAAAUUAAAAGCGAUGAUUUAUCAUCCAAUAGAUACAUUUCCAUGGGACAUGUUUCUCUCAAAAAGUAUGUCCAAUAUGAACGGUUGUGUAAUACCCCUACCCGUAUUCGUCGCCGAAAUAGGAUAUGAGGCAUUACCAGAUUUUACCGAAUAAAUUUUUCGUUAUUACGAGUUAAAUACUAUUCAUUUAUCGAAACAUGUCAUGACGUCCCUUGGAUGGGCCUCCGAAGCCCAAAACAUACAUCGGGACCAAACCGAGAUUAAAUCGAAACCAUAAGAAAUUUUUUGCAAAAUCCCAAAGUUUUUUUUUUUGAACUCAAUAUAACCCCUUUAUAAAUAUCUAAUCUUCCCCGCAAUUUUAAACCGAGACCAAUCCAACACAACCAAUCCAUUUCAACAUAUUUUCAAGUAGAUUUAACAUAUUCAUAAGAUAACCUGAUCACAUACCAAAACCAAAUUUGUUAGUCAUACCAAUGGCUAACCAUACAUUCAUUUCACAUUAACAUUUACUUUACUAGCUUAUACAUGCCAUUGAUUUCCAAAAUAAAGUUCCUUUAUAUACCGGGAUCUUGAGGUUGAUAGUAUGAUGCGUCUCCGACCAAAUCCAACCUUCGAGCUCUUAACACUACAACAUAGGGGAAAAUGAAACAGGGUAAGCACUUUGUGCUUAGUAAGCUCAUGUAACAAGAAUUAUACUUACCUAAUAUUUUCAAUACAAUGCAAUAAACAUUCAUACAUCCAUUCAAUGCAUUUUUCCCUUACCAUGCACAAACUCAACAUUCAAGUUAGUUCAAUAAUUUCCAUGUAUCAAUAAUAUAUAUACCAUGAUUGAUGAGCUCAUCAAUACCAUGAUUUCCAUUUCCUUGUUAUUUUUUCAUAUUUAUCCCAUUGAAUUUCUUGGAAUUUUGAUUGAUUUUCAGGGAUACACUUUAGUGUACAAAUCCGGGUCCGUCAAUUCAUAUUCAUGUGCACACAUUUCCAUUUCAGAGAGCACACUCCCACGAAUUUCAUCUUUACAGCGGGAUUACCAAUCCAGGCUAAAUCCCCUGUAAUAUAAACUUAUAAAGUAUUGUCGGGAUUACUUGUUUAGGUUAAAUCCCCUACAAUGACAAUUGCUCUAAUGAGCUUGGAUCUGAAUUACCAGUCCAGGCUAAAUUCAGACCCUAAUUCGGAUUACCCAUCCGGGCUAAAUCCAUUUUCCACAUAUUCUUCGGGAGGGCUAUAUCAGGAUAGGAUCACCCGUCCGGGCUAGAUCUUUUUUACCGUCAAUUUCUUUUCAGAGAUCCAUCGAAUUUUCCUUCCAUUCAACCGGGAUUUCUUCCCCUUUUUAUCAAAUAUAUCAAUGUUUCAUCAAUUUUCAUACAAUGAACAUUCAAAUCAUAUUCACAUCAAUAACAUACAUUUCAAGCAUUUAAGAAUAUAAUUCAAGUUACACGAACUUACCUCGAUACUUGUUAAUAAACAAAAAUCAACUAAUCUCGAACUUUUUUUUUCCUCAAUCUAGCUUCGCAUUUGAAUUUUCUGGAUCUAAAUAAAUAAAUUUAAUCAUUAAUCUAAUACAUUUCAUGUUCAUAUGUAACAUUCUCUAUAAUUCCAUUAUAUUUAUAUAUAGUUCAUUCAAAGCUGUCUCCUUGAGUCAUAGUCACUAAAUUAUUUAUAUCUUGAGCUACAGAACUCCAAAUUAAGAUCCGUUAUUUUUUCUCGAAACUAGACUCACAUAUCUCCUUACCAUAAAAUUUUUAGAAUUUUUGAUUUAGCCAAUAAGUACAUUUUAUUAUUUAAAGUCACCCUUAUUCUGUUGUCUGGUAGUUUCGACCCUUCUUCACUAAAAAUUAAUUAUCUUCUCAUACAAGAUUCGAAUGAUGCUCUCAUUUGUUUAUUUUGAAAAUAGACUCAUUAAUGGUUUUAAAAAUAUAAAUUUAAGUCCCUACUUAUUUUUAUCCAAUUUUUUAUGAUUUUCUAAAGUCAGAACAGAGGAACCCGAAAUCAUUCUGACAUUGUCUCACAAAACCUAUUAUAUCUCAUGAUUUACAAUUUCAUUGCUUACACCGUUUCAUCUAUGAGAAACUAGAAUUAAUAAUUUUUAAUUUCAUAUUUUAUUAAUACUAUAAUUAAAUUUCCACAAUUUAUGGUGAUUUUUCAAAUUUAACGUACUGCUGCUGUCCAAAACUGUUUUAGUGCAUGAUGUUAAUUACCAUUUUUCCUCUAACUUUCAAUAAAUGAUAAUUUCAUUCUUGCUCAAUUAACCUCUCAAUUGAGCUGAUUUUUCUCAAUUAACACUUUAUUCCAUCACUUUAAACUACUUUAUAACCUCUGGAAGUCAGAAUUUCAGCACUAGACUUUAAUUCCAAACUUUUUCACAAUUAGGUCCAACAAAUCGAUUUCCAUUGAAAUUACCUAAUAAAACCAUAUCAUAAAUAAAUUAAAGCUUCAAUUUCAUGCUAAAUCAUCAUAUACUUCCAGCACAUAUUCAUAGAAACUUUCAAUUUCCUUCAUAAAAUCUAAACUAAUGAAUUCAACAAGUGGACCUAGUUGUAAAAGUCACAAAAACACAAAAAUUUCAAGAACUAAUCAAGGAUUGAACUUACUUGUAGUAAAAAUAUGAAAAACCAGCUUAAGGAAACCUUCUAUGGUGUUCUUUUUGCUGACGAGAAUACAGAAAAAUAAAGAGAAAUCUAGAUAAUUCCACUUUAGUCCUAACUUUCAAAGUAAAUUUUGCAAUAUUUCAAUUUUACCCUUAAUUCUCCAAUUCUCCUGAUUUUUCUCAGCUUAUGCCGCCCCAAAUAUCUCCUUUUGGGCCUAUUUACAAUUUAUGUCCCUCCUCAUUCAACAAUUGAGCUAUUUAAUCCUUUUAGUAACUUUUACAUCCUUUUCAAUUUAGUUCUUUUCACUUAAUUAACUACCCAAACGUAAAAAUUUUCUAACAAAAAUUUAAUACCAUAUUACUAACACUUCAUAAAUACUUUUAAAAAUAUUUUCGACUCGGUUUUACGAGAUCGAGGUCUAGAUACCUUGUUUUUACCCAAUUUCUUCAAUAAUUUUUUUUCUAAUCUAACCACUAAAUCGGUAAUUAUUUUAUCGAUAUUUUCAUACGAUUUUCCUAUCAUAUCAAAUUAAUGCAAAAAUAUUAAAAUAAAUUUCUCUUUAAAUCAGAUUUGUGGUUACGAAACCACUGUUCCGAUAACCUUGAAUUUUGGCCAUUACAGGCUGUGGCUCUUCAAAAUUGUAUUCAAUGAGUGCAUAUUAAAUAGAGGCAUUAUAGUGCUCACAAAUGAUAUAAUUACAAUCAAUCCUAUUUUCAGAAACUAGAGUAAGAGUUAGGGAAUUCAUCGAUUUUGCUAAUCAAAGGAAAUUUAAAACUUCGUUGUAUCCCGGGAGGAUCUUUGUCUUAACCUUAUAGCAACAAGUCUCUAAAUUUAUCGUCUCCAUUUAAAUAUCAAACAUAACUGGCCAAUUUUAUCACCUAAAAACGUUCCAAAACAGAAUAUACAUUUAUAAUUAUUUUUAAAUAUCCAACAAGCCAUUUUUUUAUAAAAAAUAAUAUCUAAAAAUUUAAUUAAUUAUAAAAAUAAGGUGUUUGUUAUAGUAUUUUUCAGUGUCACUAAAUACAUUUGUAGCACCACCUUCACUUUUUGUCCAAUCAUUCAGCAAUCAUGACAUUUUAAAAAAUUAAAAAUAUGUAUAUCGCUGACACACCAGCGGCAUCGCUAUCAAUUUACAAAAAAUAGUAACGGAAAAAAUAAAGGAAAAAAAAUGCCUGACACACCACUAGAUACUAUUUUGUUUCACUGUUGGUGGAAUUAAAUUAAAAGAGAAAUUUCAAAAAGUGAAGCUAACACACACACCAACUAUCGUUUUGUUUCAUUGUUGGGGAAGAGAAACUACAUGUAGUCUGCAAUACAGGGAACUAUAGCUUUAGUAGACAAACGAUUUCGGGUUGGGAGAAUUAAAUUUAAAAAUUUAAAUCCGUGAAAAUAUAUGUAUUUUUAAAAAUGCCUAACACAGCGAUGGCACAAAAAUAUUAUUUUUAAAAUAUCAUGAUUGCUGCAUAAUUGGACAAAAAGUGGGUGGUGUCGCCUAACACAACGACGACACUGAGUAACACUGUAACAAACAUUUCAUUUUCGUAAUUAAUCUGUCCUCCACCCAUAAUUGUAAUUAAUUAAUUUUUUAAUAUUAUUUUUAUAAAAAAAAUGCCCUAAAAGAUGUUGUUAAGGCAUGGGGAUCAAUGAGUUUAUACAUCUGUUUUUCCAGAAACGUCAAUUUAUACGUGUAAGUACUUCUAUUUUUUUGGUUUUUGUUAUAUGAUAUGAAAAUCACUGACACGGAUGAUAUACCAAGAGAUUAAGACUUAAUUUAACUAAAUUUUUUAACUUUAAAAAAAAAUACUUUUCGACCAAUUUUUUACUUAGAAAAUUUACUUUUUCUUUCAAACAAUGGUUUAUUUAGAAAUAUUGUUGUUCCAAAAAUAUUAUAGAGAUUUCUGACACAUGUUAGAGACCACCAAAAUUUUCUGCCAAAUGUAAUAAGGUUCAUGGAAUUAAAAUUGUCAUGAAAAAUAAAUUGAGGUCGUAAUUAGGAGAAUAUCUAGAAAGGUUAUUAUAGGAGGGGAACAUGACAUGUGGUAGGGAUCUACUAAGAAUUAAAUGAGUUUAUUUGAAGGAAAAAUUGUAUAUUUACUAUUUAGAUUUGUGCCACAACCACUGUUUAAUGUAUUCGAUUUAGACAUAUUCAUGAGUCAGGUCGCUUGAAAAGUUGGAGGAUUUAAGUGAAAAUAUAGAUCUGAAAAUAUGUUUGGGCAAAAAAAUAAGACCCAUUUAAAAAACGGGUCAAGCCUCGGGUAAGGCUUUUUGGCCCGGGCCUAAACCGGCCCGAAUAUGUAAAAAAAUUUGUUGCUUUUCCUUGCUUUUUUUACUCUUUUUUGUUAUUUUUUCAUUAUUUUCUACCAUUUCACUAUUAUGUUGGAACUAUUUUGUAGUUACUGUUUGGAUAUUGUAUAACUCUUAUUUUAUUGUUAAUUUUGUUACUAUUUUAGAAGCAUUUGCUUGUUAAAUUGCACCUUUCUUAGUGUUAUUUAAGUAUACAUAUAUAUUUAUUUUUAAUUUGUUGGGAAACAUUUAUUUUAAUAUUUUUGAUAUAUUAUAUAUUUUUAAAAUUUAUAUAAUAAAUAAUAUAAAAAUUAAAAUAGGCGGGCCAGACACAAAUUUUAGCAUUCUUAUCCGAGCCGGGCUUAAGCAAAAUAUUAUGCUCAUUUUUGGGCCGGGUCAAUUUCGGGCCCAAAAAAUAGGCAUAAAAUUUUUGUUGGCCCCGACCCGGCUCAUGGGCACCUCUAAUUCGAUUGUGACAAAUAAAACUAUCAUGUAUCAAUUCUUAAAUUGGAUAACGGUUAAUGAACAUCUAUCAAUAGUUGUUUAAAAUUAUCUAGAGUUUAGAGUUUGGUUGUGGAACUUGAUGCAAUAUAAGAUAUUAUAUACAACCAUCGAGAAAAGACAUUACAUUGCGUAAAGGCAGAUUAGUCUUAAGCCAAUAUAUUAUCGGUUGAAUAAAUUUAAAAAGCUUAUAUGUCUGCCAUUGAUAACUUAUAUGUAAAAACAUUUGUUGAGACAAAUUAUUUAAACAUAACUAACUUGCCAAACGCAAUAAUUUACAUUAAAAUUUUGAUAGAAUUUAGUACAUUCAAUGUUUAAAAAUUCAAGCAAUAAAAAUGCAUUACCUCAUAAAGUCAACCAGUAAUAUCAACGCUAUUGUAGUCUUGAAAAUCACUGCGUAAUUCGUAAUUUGCAAAACAAUGUUUUAUUUGAUUUAGUAUGUUUAUUAGCCAUUUUUUAUAAUCGCAUUAAAGAAAACCAAUAUACAUAAAAACGUAAAUCAACAAAUAAAUUGCACUAAAAUAAAACUUAUUAAUAAAAUCAUUAAUUUUCUUUUUCUUUUUCUCUUUUCCAUUUAAAUAUAAUUUUAAAAUAAAAUAAUCUCAUACGUUGAAGUGAAAUCACAUCCUAUCGUUCACGAGUAGGGGUGUGCAUAAUUCGGGUAAAACUGAAAAAAUUCGGUUAAUCGGUCAGUUAACUAAAUUUUUUCGGUUGGGGGUCGGUUAAUUUUUUUAUGAUUUUUCGGUUAACGGUUAAUUCGGUUUGAAACCGGUUGGCUAACCGAAUUUUUUUGGUUUAACCGAAAAAAUUAAAAAAUAAAAUUAUCCAACCCAACCUAAUUACCAACCCAAUAAAACUAAAACUAAAGUCUAUCCAAUUACCAACCCAAUAAAAAUAAAACUAAAGUCUAACUCUAAGUCUCUACUCAAUUACACAUGUUUUUUUAAGUUUAAUGCAAAUGGGGAUUUUUUGGAGAUAAGAAAUGGAUAUUAAUGGAGAAUGUUAAAGACUUACAUUUCAAUUAUGUGUUAAUUUCAAGACUUAUGUAAUGUUUUUAAUUAUGUAGUGAUUCAAUUCGGGUAAUUCGGUUAACUAAAAAUAAAAACCAUACUAUUUUUGGUUAAUUCGGUUAACCGACCUAAUAAACCGAAAAAAAUUCGGUUCGGUUAACGAUUAAAAAUUUUAGAAGUUCGGUUAAUUCGGUUAUAGCUAUUUCGGAUAGAUUAACCAGUAGGUUAACUGAAUGCACACCCCUAUUUACUAGUCUCGCGAAUUUUUUAUACAUCCACUCAACCAAGAAAUAGAAAUAGAAGUGUUAGAAAUGGACUACUCUCUCAAAUUAUUUAUGUCAUCCAUUUUUAGUUUAAUAUAAUAUAAGAAUAAUUAAUCACGAUAAUUAAUAUUUUUCUUUAUUUAUGGCACAUAAUUAUGUUUAAUAUAAUAACAAAUUAAAUUUUUUAUGUUUAUAUAUUUUAUUAAUUUAGUCUUAAAAAUACUUAUAAAAAUGAAUAAAAUGUGCACAUUUUGAGGACUAAAUUUAUUAUUAUACAAAAAAAAAAUAUUGCGACUAAUUAUCCUUAAAUGCUCAUUGUUAAAAUUGAUAAGAAUUAUACUAUUUUGAUUAUUUUUUAAAAUAACAAUUUAUUUAAUAUUGAAAUAAAAAUUUCAAAAUUAGACCGCUUAUCGGAUCUGUCAUACCACUGAUUCAUCACUCAAGUUAGUUCCAUUAAAUAGGUAAUUAAAAAUUUAUAAAAACAAAAAAUAUGAAACGUCUAGUUCAAUCGAUUUUUGUCAAGCUUAAUUAAUCUAUAUCAAAUUUUGAAUCAAUCAAUUCUGAUCCAACUCAUUUGACCAAACGAUCUAGUACCAUUCAAACAAACUUAAUUGAGAUAGAGGGGAAUUCAUUUUACCUAUAAAUAUAAUUUACUAUAAUAUUUUUGGACGGUAAUUUAAUAUAAUUUAAAAUAAGUUAGUUGUAUAUUUGUAUUGCCGUAAGUUGCUUUUUUGGCAGAAAAUGUCAUUUCAGGCAUAAUAAAAGCCGGAAAGCAAACAAGGCAACAAUAAAAUCAAGCGGUCUAAAGAACUCCACGAGGUCCCCGCGUCCACAGAAUGAAAAGGUGGAUUUAAAGCGUGUAAUUUAACUCCAAUUCAUAAGCACGGCGGAAUCCGAGCACAGCCUCGCUGGAUUCUCCUUAAAGCGCACAAAAAUACACACAACAAAAUCGAUCAAAGAGACUAAGGACUAAGGAGGAAAAUGAAAAAGCUAAAAUAUUUAAAAUUAUAAAAUUUAUCUUUUACUAUGUUCAAUUUUCUUUUUUUACAGUAUUCCCUCUGCAAUUUUUUAAUUAACCAAAAAAAACCCUCACCCCAUCAACUUCCGCUUUCUCGUUCCGGGAAAAAACUCCGAAAACCCUAACUUUCUCUCGAGUAAAAUCUCCUCCUCCCUCUCUCGCUGAAUCCACCUUUCGUUUUACGUUUUAUGGCCUUUCGCGUGAGUCUGUAGGUUUUCAAUGGUGUGAAAUCGAGGCCUUAGACUAAGAUUUGAAGGAUCUGUUUCUGUAUAUUUAGGUACAUAGAAUAUAUAUUUUUUCAUAGAGAAAAAAGCUAUGACGGCAUCUGAGAAAGAGCUGGAGCUACAGUUAAUGGAGGCUGGAAACAGGCUCGUCGAACCCCCGUCGUCAGUCGCUGAGCUCAUCCCUCUCCUUGACGUAAUCCCUAAUCCAUCCUUUUACUAUUUUUCCUUAACUUCAUUUUGCUCUUCGUUAAUUUUUUUCCUUAUUAUUUGAUUUGUCUGAUUUUAUUAUGCAUGCGUUUUCGAAAUUUUUCGUGUGGUUCUUUCUAUGCAAUUAAUUUAGUUAGAUUUCCCCCCAUACUGAUCUACUUUUACCCUUUUUUUUCCCAAGAUUUUCUUCUUUUGCAUUGUUUUCACGUGCUUAUUUCUGCUCUUGUUCUCACUGAUGUAAGAUUGAAUCAGUUUAAAAGUGUUUUCUGCUAAUGAGUAUUGUUUAGCACUCUUCAGUCUAAACUAUUGUAAUUUAUAUUUAUUGUGGAUAUAUUGCCAUGUCUAUGUUUUCGAAUUUGAUGAAUUACUGAUAUGCACGACGUGUUUGCUUUACUAGAGUUUAAAUGGUGGAAUUUUUUUGUUUUUGGAUGCAAAUGCUAUGCAGUAGCUAAUAUUUGGAUGAAAUGAUACACAGUUUUGAGAUUUCUUUUGAAUUCAAAAUUGCCCAAGCUGCAUUUAAGUGAUUGCAUAUGUGAAAGUGUGCGUUUUUCUUGUCCAUAUGUCACAUGUCAGGCUUUAAGUUUAUGAAACCUGAGGAUUAGUAUAUGAUAGAUACAUCAUUAUUUUUUGUUUAGAUAAUUAAGCACCACCUAUGUUUAGCAAUUAAUUUCUGACAGGCUAGUUAAAUUUUUAAUAACCAACUUGUGAUGACAUUGAAAGCAUUGAAAAUUAAGUUGGAAAGGAUGUGUAGAUAUUGUGUGAAAGGAUUCCUUGUAAGCAAGGAUUUUGUUUGGCAUGUGAGAUUACGAUGUUAUUGCAUUAAACAUUUAUGUUAAUUAUAGAUAUAUUUGCAAAUAUUUAAUCUAUUUCCUUAGAGGGAUGAUGCAUCGGAAUCUGUUAUUUUUAAUGAAUUUCACCUCAUCUUUUUUAUACCUCUAGGAAGAUCUGUCCUGCCAAAAUUUUGUGUCCCAAGUAAGGAGCUGUUAAAAUCCACUAUGGAUGCUUGAUAGGAUAGAAUUUCGACUCCAUACUUGAUGAUGUCCUUUAUUUUUAUGGUCUUUGCAACCUUUUGGUUUUCUUCUGCCCCAGAACUCCAUUUACAAAUGAUAGCAAUGUCAAAGAAGAUUCUGGAAUUGUGAUAUACCGCACAACUCUGGUGCUAUUCCCUGUUUAGACAAAAUUAUGUGUACUCAUGAUGUCAAGCAAGAAAACUUUGAAGAGGAUGUGCAAAAAAAGUGAUACUAGUGCAACUAUUCGUUUUCCUUUGGUAGAUUGUUUUGUCUGGAAUCAAUGUCUCCUUUAAAUCAUCGCUCUAGGUUUAGCGUCUCUUAGGGUUUCACUACUUGUUCUUGAGCAGGUGGCUGCUGUAAAACCAUGCAUGAAUUCUGUUUUAGAAUGCCCUAGGAAUUUAGUAAUGAUUGCAGUGUGAUUCCAGUGAUGAGUGCGUGCUGAAGUGUUUGGUUUGUAGUCAAUUUGAAGUACAAAAUUUUAAGUAUUUUGGUUUUGCUCUCCUUAUUUUACAAGGGGAUAAUUCGUGUUGCUUUUUUUUACUGCCAGCUUUACCAUUCUAUUUCUGUUCUUGUGGAGCAUUAUAGCUGUAUAGGUAAUUUUUUCACUUCCUAAUGAUAUGUGGGCUCAUUGAUUGUUUGAAUUUUUAGGUGCUUUAGCAUUCCCGUGUUUUGCCUUAUGCCAGUGCUUUUUAUAUUUACUUUUCACAUUGAUGAUUAUUGUUUAUUCUUUUCUAUCCCUCAUGAAUAUAGCAAGUUGAGAGUUGUCUAUCAAGGGUGGAACAAUCACCAAACCAAUCAAUGCAAAAUGCACUGUCUCCAUCACUCAAAGCAUUGGUAGCAGAGCACCUGUUCAGACAUCCUGAUGAUGAUGUAAAAGUUGCAGUUGCUGCUUGCAUCAGCGAGAUAACAAGGAUAACUGCACCUGAUGCUCCCUAUGAUGAUGACCAGAUGAGGGUACGUUGAAUUCAUUGCUUCAGGAUGCUUUGCAGAUCAUGACCAUUUUAAAAUCAUUUUCUGUAUUUAUUGCCUUUAAUAUGUAUGCAGGAGGUUUUUCAACUGAUUGUGUCAUCCUUUGAGAAUUUAUCUGACAAGUCCAGCUGUUCAUUCAUUAAGAGGACCUCGAUUCUUGAAACUGUUGCCAAAGUCAGGUCGUGUGUGGUGAUGUUGGAUCUUGAAUGUGAUGCCCUUAUUGUUGAGAUGUUCCAGCAUUUCCUCAAGGAAAUAAGGUAAAAGUGAACUUCUUGAAUCGAGAGUUCAUUCUCUUGUUGUGUUUCAUCAUUGUUAUUCUUCAGCUAUUGUCUCCUAGUUAUUGUCUGAUUUGUAAGCUUUUAUCUGUUAAGUUUAUUGCUUUUGAAAACUUUCUUUUCAGUUCUUUGUCUUGGUCUCUUGUGGAUGAACCUGUGCUUUUGCAGAAGCUGUUCUCUUAAUGUCAAGUGAUGAUCAUGGCUGCUGUGAAAUUUUAACUACGUGUUUAAAAUGAUAGACUGCUAUAUAGGUUUCUGAAUAAUGGAGAUUAUGCUCCCUCUAGAGUGUCUGGAUUUAAACCUUUCAUUAAGUAGUUGCCUAUGUUAGGUAACAGAUCUUCAGUUCCUUCUAAUCUGAACAAAGUUUAAGUGCUUUUUUAAGAAUUCUAAGUUCCUUUAGGGAGCUUUGUCUUGGUCAAGUUUUUAAUAGAGUUUGUUUUCAUAUUAAAAUUUUGUCGUCAUCCAAAUGUACCACUACUUAACUAGAGUACUAGUAUGAAAAAUAAUAAAAAUGGUUUAGUAUUCUAUGUCGAACAUGUAUUCUGAUCCUUUAUUUUCCUUAUGAUUCUUUUUGUUUAUUUUUUCAGGGAUUAUCAUGCAGAGGCAGUCUUUACGUCGAUGGUGACUAUUAUGACCCUUGUGCUGGAAGAAAGUGAAGAUAUCCCUACAGAGCUGCUCUCCCCAAUCUUAUCUAGUGUAAAGAAGGAUAAUGAGGUCUGUUGUCAUACGAGUAAGUUACUGCCUUUCACUUCUGCUAUCUUUGCUUAGUUCACCUAGGGUUUCAAUUUCCUCUCAGGAAGUUCUUCCUGUUGCUCGGAAGUUGGCAGAGAAAGUGCUUGAAAACUGUGCAUCAAAGCUUCAACCAUACCUAACCCAAGCUGUAGAGAACUUGGGAAUUUCUUUUGAUGAUUAUAGUAGUAUAGUUGCUUCUAUAUGUGGGGCGACAGCUGGUGCUGUAGAGCGGGAUGAUGCUGCUGUUGGAAAACUUGCGGUAAUUACGUCAUUUGUAUCUUAAUGUAACUGCUUAAUUUCAAAGUCUGUGGUUUGAGGGCAAUUAUUUUUUUAUUUUGUGCUGUGAUUUUGUAUGAAUUUCGACUCAGCAUUAUUUGCUGAUAGAUUAUUUGCUACUUAAUUAUACAAAAUUCAAUGCUUUUUAUUUAUAUAUUGUGUGUGUCAACACUUUGUUCUUGGCCUUUUUGUGGAUUAUCUUUUAAUUUUUUCUUUUGGUCAAACUAUUCUUCAAACCAACAAGUUUUUGGCUCAUGCUUACACCUUACUGAUGUCUUCUAUUUUUUUAUUAACAUAACUUAGUCUCCUACUCUCCUUAUGUUUCUCUUUUUGGGUUGAUUUGCUGUAGGAUGAUGAGAAAAUACCAGCAGAGGCACCUUUGGAGAACGCAGCCCAGGUAUGUUUUAUUUCGUAUAUUUAUUGUCAAUUGUGUUAUUCUUCUCUUUGCGUGCGGAUUCUAGUCCUUUCUCUUUCCUUUUAAUGUAUUGAGUAUUUUUUUUUUUUGAGAAUUUAAUUCCUGAAUUUUUCAUUUAUAAAUAUUCAAAAUUCCUAUCAGGGGGAUAAAAAGAUUCCUAAAGAAGCAGUUUCAAUUGAACAAGUGGCCCUUGUAAAUGAAAAGACUCCCGUGCCAGUUGCUUGCAAUGGCAUUAUGCGAACUGCUGAUUCAAUCUCUGUAAAGAAGCAAGAGGAUGAUCACAUUGCUGAUAAGUCCGAGAAUGAAACAUCAACUGUGGCUGAACCUGAUUUAUUGGAAGCUGAGAAAGUGGUCGAUCCAGGCCCUAAGUUAGAGCGAAGUACCCAGGAAAAGGAGAGGAAAUCUGAUUCAAAAUUAACUGAACUUUCUGGCAGCUCUCAGGUUGAUGAGAAGGAAGUUGAGACUAUACCGGAUCGUAAACAUGACUGCAAGGAUGGUGAUGGUUCUCCAUGUCAAGAUGUGUCUGUUGAUGGGGAUGUAUCCUCUGAAAAUAGAAGAGAGACAGAUUUUCAGCAUUCCUCUCCAAAAGCAAUUGAGGAUAAAUCGACUGAUGUUGCUUCCCCAACACCAAGUGGGACUGUAAUUGUUGAUGGUCAUUCCAAAAGGGUAUCAAGGCCAAAAAAGAAAGACAGCGUAAGCAAGGAGACAACAUGUUCUGUUGAUGAUGUCUCUAAGAAGUCGCAUGAAGGGACAAGUGAUUCAGAAGCAAAAUCAAAUAGACAAUCAGGAAAAAAGGGUUCUACUGUAGUUUCCAACGAGGAUAAUGCUCCAGUUAGUGUAGAUGAAACUAAGAAAGAAAGUGACAUUGCAAGUGAUUUGGAGGCAAAAUCACUGAAGAAGUCAUCAAAGAAGGUAGAUUCUAGUGGUAACAACUUAGAUAAAUCCUCUUCAAAGAAACUGGAGGAUAAGAAUAGGCUAGCUCGGGGUAAAGUUGCUCCUGUGAAGGAUGGAACAAAAAACUCAACCAAGAAUGAUGAUGAGGUAAUUUCUUUUUGGCUUAUAACGUGUAAUUUAGCUAUUGUAGUAAUGUUUAUUAUUCAAAGCUUUGUGAUUUAUUUGUUUAGCUGUACUUGAUCCUUCAAUCAAGGGAAUCAUUCUUGCUUACUAUUGAUUUAGGAAGUGAUUGGAUCUCCAAAGUCAGUGAAGCCAAACAAACAAGAUUCUCACAAGGAGGGGACCCCUAAGACAAAUUCCAAGAGAAAGCAUAUGCCAAGUAAAGAAAAAGUAAUGUCUUUUUGCAUCUUUAAGGAUGAAAUUUUAGUAGUGGUGUAUUGUAGUUUUGGUAGGUUGCAUUUAAAUAAAGGUGGCAUCUACGCUGCUAUGAUUUUUCAUGUUUAUUGAUGUACUGUGUUUGUUUCUAAUGUUCGAAGCAUAUCUAGACAUAGAUAUGGGCUUACGUACUUGCAAGGGGCCACUCAAUACAUGGAAAAUUUGAAAAAAAUUAAACAUACCUGUGUCCAUCACUAACAUCUCAGUCUGAGAAACACAGGCCAGAAUUGUAGGUGGCCUUUGAUGAUGUUUGUGGGUUUGAACUCUUAAUGAUUUCUCCAUUCUUGCAUCCUUGAUGAUCAUUUUGCUAUUCACAGGCCAUUUAACUUUUCUUGCUUUCUUCUUAAUUCUCAUAUUGGCUUUUUUCUGAUUAUUCCUGUGAUUGUCUAGAUUUUUACCUUUAGAUUUUCUUGAAGCGU